ensembl:lncRNA
CGGCCCGGCCCGCGCCCCGCCGCCUGGCCAGAAGGCCAGCUACACCAUCCCGCCGCGGCCGCCGCAACUGGGCAACUGAGGGCAGAUAGCCCCUUCACCGCCGCCGCCGCCGCCGCCGCCGCCGCCGCGGGCCGGGCCCCGCCGCCGCGCAUGCGCCCCGCCCGCCGCCGUCAUUGAGAGUCGCCACCCCCCGGGCGUGAGGGUGGGCGUGGGGGCGGAGGCGGUAGAAGUGGACGUCACGCUCAGUCGCCAUGUUUGUUGUUGGCACGACGGUGGCGCUCGAGAGGGCUCCGGGUGGUCUUCGGGUUGACUGUGGAAGAACAGGUGCAGUGCCACUUGCCCACGCUCCACCAGGGCAGGAGCAGAACUUGUCAGACCCCACCAAUUGCCAACUUUCCGAGAAGGAUCUCCGCUCCCAGAGAGGGUGUGUCUGCUGUCUGUGGUUGCUCGCUAUGUCAGUGACUGGGUGAAGUAUUGUCACCUCAGCCACAUCCUCCAGUCCAGCUUUGUCAGUAAUAAAAAUGACACUUUGAUCUCU